GAGGGGUGGAUCUCACGCAAGGGAUGAGGUCGAACGAAAACGACGUCCGACUCUGUUUUAAUCGUAGAGAUGUCUAAUCUGUUGUAACUAUUGCAGAUGCUCUAAUCGGUUGUAUUCAUUUCUCCCCUUCCUCCCACUCUCGAACCCCAUCUCCCUCUCCAAGACUAACUCCCUUUCCCAAUUCCUUCCAAAGACCUUGUAUCCAGAUCCAUGGUGGAAUAGAUCGAGAAGAGGGACGUAACACUCGGCCACUCUCUCUUCACUCCUCAGAUCCCAGGUGCAGAAAUUGAAAUACCGAGGUAGCACAGGACUAAUAAAAGAGGGAGUUUUAUUACACACAAAGAAGAAGAAAUGUCCCUUCUCCAUGUGAUAAACUGUGAGAAGAUUGAUGAAACGAGAGCUGCAGAGCUAAUAUUAUUGGCACAUAAACAAACAACUAAAAUAAGUGUAUACUAUGCUUGACAAAUGAUCCAUGGCUUGAUAGAUGCCUAAGGUAUGUAACUACGUAAGUGGAACUAGCUGUGAGUCAUGUCUGAAAUAUUUCUUGUCUUUAUGGUGGCAUUGUAUACAUAUUCAUGUUUCUUGUGCAUAUUUAGCAAAGUAUUCAGCAAAACACUUACACUUCAUUCUUGUUUGUCCCGGAAUCCUUUAUAAUUGUGUGCCCAAAGCUAUAGUAUGCAUGAUGUUUCUAUAUAUUUAUUGUUGUCAUUUAUCUUUACAAUUAGGUAUGGUGUGCCUAAUAACAAGAAAUGAGCAAUGUUGAAUUCUUGCAUGAAAGGUAACAAAAAAAAAGGAGUCAUUCUAUUGCAGUAGUUGUUCUAAUCUAGACAUGAUAAUAUGUAUUGGAGAUUGCUGGCCGUGCUGGUGAUUUGGGAGAUCAGGAAUGAGCACAACCGUCACGUAUUUACCAUUCAUAUUCGCUGCAGAGCUCACAUGCAUUGCCUUUGAGGAAGCCAGUGUUGUAAGGAGGCUGAUGCAAAGCAUGUCAUUUUUGACAGUAGUCUAGCUUAGUGAACCAACUGCCAUUGUGCGUUAUCUCUUCUGCUUUUCUUCUGUUCUACAAUAUUUGUUCCUUCUAUCAGUUAAAUUAUGUUGGGUCAUUAUACUGUAUCCUAUAUCUCUCUCGGGUCUCAUAUUCAUGUGCAUGCAAGACUUCUAGAACUUGUGUAUAUUCUCUUAUGUAUGCAAUUCUGUAUCAUGUAAUUUUUUUUAUAUUUUCUUUUUUCAUGUAAGCUCUCUUGGCCAAUUGUUGUAUAUAUGCCUUAUGUAUGCGACUUUUUUUGUAUUUUUAUUUGCCUUCUCUUUUUCAUGUAAGAUCUUUUGGCCAAUUUUUGUGUAUACUCUCUUAUGCGCGAGAUCUACAUAUAGUAUUUUUAUUUGUGUUUUA